AUUGAACGCUGGCGGCAGGCCUAACACAUGCAAGUCGAGCGGUAGAGAGAAGCUUGCUUCUCUUGAGAGCGGCGGACGGGUGAGUAAUGCCUAGGAAUCUGCCUGGUAGUGGGGGAUAACGUUCGGAAACGGACGCUAAUACCGCAUACGUCCUACGGGAGAAAGCAGGGGACCUUCGGGCCUUGCGCUAUCAGAUGAGCCUAGGUCGGAUUAGCUAGUUGGUGGGGUAAUGGCUCACCAAGGCGACGAUCCGUAACUGGUCUGAGAGGAUGAUCAGUCACACUGGAACUGAGACACGGUCCAGACUCCUACGGGAGGCAGCAGUGGGGAAUAUUGGACAAUGGGCGAAAGCCUGAUCCAGCAAUGCCGCGUGUGUGAAGAAGGUCUUCGGAUUGUAAAGCACUUUAAGUUGGGAGGAAGGGCAGUAAAUUAAUACUUUGCUGUUUUGACGUUACCGACAGAAUAAGCACCGGCUAACUCUGUG
rnacentral:rRNA from 1 species